GCUCAGCCCCUCUAGGUUUCCGGAAGACUUUAAUGUUCCUCUGUGGACACCCUAAAGAUGAAGACUGAAGCCAGGAAAGCCCCUCGCCAACCAAAGUUAAACUGGUCCCAGCUCCUAGGCCCCUCACCUCUCCUGGCUUAAUAUCCUCCAAGGCGGUGACAUGCAAAAGGAAGUUGUUUUCUGGGAAGGAGGUCUCUGCAUUGGGGACACAGCUGUGGUUGCCUGGGUCAUGAGAGGCAGGUAGUAAGGGUUGUUGACUAAUAAAAAUAACAGCCUCAA